GGCCCAAAUGUGAAGCAGAGUAAAUUAGUAUGGUCAGCUGAUCAUACUGAUCCACUCUACUUCAAGUUUGCGCCC
rfam:Haemonchus contortus, ISE/inbred ISE, WGS project CAVP01000000 data, contig: Hcontortus_5852